GCGUCGGUGGUGCAACGGUUUGGCUUAUGCUCCCGAAAAGGAUAAGAUCUGGGUUCUAAUCCCAGCUGAUACG